rnacentral:sRNA from 1 species
GUAGGUGAACCUGCGGAAGGAUCAUUGUCGAUACCUGUCCAAAACAGAACGACCCGCGAACCAAAGAUCACCACUCUCGGUGGGCCGGUUUCUUAGCCGAUUCCUUGCCCGCCGGAUCCGUGGUUUCGCGUAUCGGCAUGAUCGGGAGCUUUUAUCUCGGUCUUGUCGUGCGCGUUGCUUCCGGAUAUCACAAAACCCCGGCACGAAAAGUGUCAAGGAACAUGCAAACGAACGGCUGGCAUUCGCCUCCCCGGAGACGGAGUGUGGGCGGAUGCUGUGCCGCGAACUGAAGUCUAAAACGACUCUCGGCAACGGAUAUCUCG